AUCCACGUCACGGUGCUAUCACUUUCCAAAGCCCAAAUCUUGCCACGUGGCGAACACCCAGAAAUCCAAGGAACAACGUGAAUAAAUAAACAGUUUUUGCACAAGUAAGCUGAUUAAUACUGUCACACAACAAAGCCAACAUUGCUGUUCUCAAAGCUUGCUUAGCUAACCCUCUUCUCUACCCUCAUACCCACUUCCAUAUUUGAUCAAAAAUUUCUUGCCUCAACAAUUUUUUCAUUUUUUUGGACCCCCAUUCAUGGAUCUUGAAUUGCCUGAUAUUGGCUGAUUGUGUUUCAGCUAAUGUUUUGGCGGGGAUUCGGCGUAGAUUCAUUGAAUUAGGAGGAUCAUUGGCUUGAACUUUGAUGAUUAAAACCCAUUAGCCGAAUUCCCGCCAUAAGCUUUGGAUUAAUUAGUUAAUUCGCAUUGUGAGGAGGAAUAAUUUUCUAGACGUUCAUUAGGUUUAUUUUUUUCUAAGAGGAGUGGUAUUUUUUAUGGAGCCUCUGUGUGAGUUUUGUGGGGUGGUGAGGGCAGUAGUUUACUGUAAGUCGGAUUCGGCCCGGCUUUGCUUGCACUGUGAUGGUUGGGUACACUCUGCCAAUACUUUAUCAAGAAGGCAUACUCGGUCACUCUUAUGUGACAAAUGCAAUGCCGAGCCUGCGAUUAUUAGAUGUAUGGAUGACAAAAUAUCUCUGUGUCAAAGUUGUGACUGGAAUGCUAAUGGCUGUAUGAGCAUGGGGCACCAGCGCCAAACCUUGAAUUGUUAUACGGGUUGUCCUUCGUUGGCUGAUUUUUCGAGGAUUUGGUCUUCGGUUCUUGAAGCGCCUUCUUUGAGUGGUUUUGAUAGUGGUUGGGGUUCACUUGGUUCAUUGCCUACGGACGGACAUUGCGACACUAGCAAUGUGGAACCUAGAAACGAUGACGUAGGGGCAUUGGGGAUGGUUACUUCCAAGUUACAUGAACCGGAACCUUGCAUGAAGUUUGACACUUGGCCAGGACCGUCUUCUGUGACUCCACCAAAUCAAAAUUACAUGCUUUACUGUCGAGAUCAAGCACCUUUCUUUGCUGAGGAGUCGAACCACCCACCUAAGGAUCUUGGAAUCCAUGAUGGUGAAGAUCUAUGUGAAGCUUUCAACAUGGAUGAUGUUCCAUUGAACUUCGAAAAUGAUGAUGAGAUAUUAAGCAAUUCACAAGGCCUUCCCAGAUGCCAGUUUGAGGAUGGAGGAAUGGAUUGCCUGUUAAUGGAGAAAAACCUAUCCGUUACUGAGUCUAAUGGUCCUAUUGAAAAUGCUAUAGAGGCAUCAUCAUCAGUAAAGAAGGAAUGUGUGACGUUUCAAUCCUCUUGUGUUGGUGGGUCAUCUAGUUUGAUGCAUGCCAUGAAUGGUGGUUCAAAUUGCUUACUUGUAAAUCCAACUGGUAGCCGAAACAUCAAUCUGGGAUUUCCUGCUGGGCAAGUUCAUUCAACCAUGUCGCUUUCACUAUCCAACAUCACAGGUGAAAGUAGUGCUGCUGAUUAUCAAGACUGUGGAUUGUCACCAUCAUUUCUAACAGGAGAAUCUUGGGAGUCAACAUUGGAGGGUAGCUGUCCACAGGCUAGAGAUAAAGCUAAGAUGAGAUACAAUGAAAAAAAGAAAACUCGAACGUUUGGUAAACAAAUAAGAUAUGCCUCUCGCAAAGCCAGAGCUGACACUAGGAAACGUGUAAAAGGUUCUAAUAAUUAUUCUACAUUUAAGAGAGGGAUUGCAUGUGGUUGGUUUGUCUUUCAUCCUCCUAUAGAUCUUCAGUCCUGCUAGCAACUUCGGGGUAUUUUGACGACACUGGUGGAACCAUAUGAUUUUUUGACCUGUGUCAGUGUGUCCUGCCUCCGCUAGCAUUAUAUGAAAAGAGUUUUCUUUGUUCACUUAGAAGUUUACUUUCUGUUGAACAUCAGCAGCUACAAUUGGUGAAGAACGUAUAUGACAUCCUAGUGAUCAUGUUGUUUCCUUCACUUAAUUUGGGCCCUUCUAUUGCUUUUGCAGUCACCUUCCCCAUCCUUCACUUUACAUUGACCGUUCUAUUGCUUUUGCAGUCACCUUCCCCAUCCUUCCACAAGGGAAAGUCCUUAUUGCAAGAAAAGUUUGGUUAAGUGCUUUAUGUGAUUAACCUGUUUCUAUUCCAUGUAAAAAGCCUUGACUGGAUUUUGUUUUCAGAUAUGAACAUCAUUUAAAAUUCUAUUUGAGAGAAUAAUAUGUGCUCGAAAUACUUUGUUAU